rnacentral:rRNA from 1 species
AACGAACGCUGGCGGCGUGUUUAAGACAUGCAAGUCGCACGGGACUAGUUGAGUAGUAAUACAAGGCUAGUUUAGUGGCGCACGGGUGAGUAACAUGUGAAUUACAUGCCCUUCAGUGGGGAAUAGCCCAGGGAAACUUGGAUUAAUACCCCAUGGUAUCGCAAGAUUAAAGGUGGCCAGUAGUAAUAUUGGCUGCCGCUGAAGGAUUGGUUCGCACCCUAUCAGCUUGUUGGUGAGGUAAUGGCUCACCAAGGCUACGACGGGUACCUGGUCUGAGAGGACGAUCAGGCACACUGGAACUGAGACACGGUCCAGACACCUACGGGUGGCAGCAGUCGAGAAUAAUUCACAAUGGGGGCAACCCUGAUGGUGCAACGCCGCGUGGAGGAUGACGGUCUUCGGAUUGUAAACUCCUGUCAUCUGGGAGUAAGGCAUGGUCGUUAAUAGCGAACAUGAUUGAUAGUACCAGAAGAGGAAGGGACGGCUAACUUCGUGCCAGCAGCCGCGGUAAUACGAAGGUCCCAAGCGUUGUUCGGAAUCACUGGGCGUAAAGGGAGCGUAGGCGGCGUGGUAAGUCAGAUGUGAAAUCCCGAGGCUCAACCUCGGAACUGCAUCCGAUACUGCCAUGCUAGAGGAUUGGAGAGGUAGCUGGAAUUCUUGGUGUAGCAGUGAAAUGCGUAGAGAUCAAGAGGAACACUCGUGGCGAAAGCGAGCUACUGGACAAUUCCUGACGCUGAGGCUCGAAGGCUAGGGUAGCGAAAGGGAUUAGAUACCCCUGUAGUCCUAGCAGUAAACGGUGCACGCUUGGUGUGAGGGGAAUCGACCCCCCUUGUGCCGGAGCUAACGCGUUAAGCGUGCCGCCUGGGAAGUACGGUCGCAAGACUAAAACUCAAAGAAAUUGACGGGGACCCGCACAAGCGGUGGAGUAUGUGGCUUAAUUCGAUGCAACGCGAAGAACCUUACCAAGGCUUGACAUGCAUCUCUAAACACGUGAAAGCGUGUGACCCUUCGGGAAUUUGCACAGGUGCUGCAUGGCCGUCGUCAGCUCGUGUCGUGAGAUGUUGGGUUAAGU